rnacentral:rRNA from 1 species
UACAGAGGGUGCGAGCGUUAAUCGGAAUUACUGGGCGUAAAGCGUGCGUAGACGGUUUCGUAAGUCGGGUGUGAAAGCCCCGGGCUCAACCUGGGAAUUGCAUUCGAGACUGCGUAGCUAGUGUGCGGAAGAGGGAAGCGGAAUUUCCGGUGUAGCGGUGAAAUGCGUAGAUAUCGGAAGGAACAUCAGUGGCGAAGGCGACUAUCUGGACAGAUACUGACACUGAGACACGAAAGCGUGGGGAGCAAACAGG